CCCCAUGACAAAUGCAUCCUAGGGCACUGGGCCAAGAAAACUAGGUCCUCUUGACAUCUGCUUGGAUCCCAGCUCCAGAGAGUAAGAACACCAUGGCCUGCUGUCCUGGCCUGUAGACUCUGGUGGGCGGAGCUCCAGAAGAGAGCGGAACUGGAUUCUGUAGUUACCUGGAAGAGAUCACCGCCUCCACAGCCGGAUCUAAGAGAACGAACCUUAUUUGCAUGAGGUGCUAGAGAGUGAAAAUAUUGGCUGAGCUCAGCUCCCUGGUGUGAAAUGCAAGCCUCGGGAAAGUCAAACACACUUGUCAAUUGCAGCCGGGGUUCCUUUUAUUAAUGGUCACUAAUGGUCUGCAAUCAAGCCACACCUGUGAGAGGCAAAAUAACAAUCGGCCUGUUUGUGUGAAUUUAUAACUUGGCAGCCGGAUAUGAGCAUGCACGCGGAUCUGACCCUAGCCAGGAAGGACACCUAAUGACAGCUGCUUCUAGCCUGGUCCUGGAGAUGGGACGAUGAGAGAAGAGGACCCCACGACGCUCAGGAGGAGGAAUUAAGAGGUCUGAGCACAAGGGAAGACUGCCUUCCCUAUCUCUCACGAGCA